AACGAACGCUGGCGGCAUGCCUAACACAUGCAAGUCGAACGAGACCUCCGGGUCUAGUGGCGCACGGGUGCGUAACGCGUGGGAACCUGCCCUUAGGUUCGGAAUAACUCCCCGAAAGGGGUGCUAAUACCGGAUAAUGUCUUCGGACCAAAGAUUUAUCGCCUUUGGAUGGGCCCGCGUUGGAUUAGCUAGUUGGUAGGGUAAAAGCCUACCAAGGCGACGAUCCAUAGCUGGUCUGAGAGGAUGAUCAGCCACACUGGGACUGAGACACGGCCCAGACUCCUACGGGAGGCAGCAGUGGGGAAUAUUGGACAAUGGGGGAAGGCCUGAUCCAGCAAUGCCGGGUGAGUGAUGAAGGCCUUAGGGUUGUAAAGCUCUUUUACCCGGGAUGAUAAUGACAGUACCGGGAGAAUAAGCACCGGCUAACUCCGUG
rnacentral:rRNA from 1 species